rnacentral:rRNA from 1 species
CCAAUAGCGUAUAUUAAAGUUGUUGCAGUUAAAAAGCUCGUAGUUGAAUUUCGGGAUUGACGUGAUGGUCGUGCCUUACGGGGUAUGAACUGUUGCUGUUGAUUUCUCACCUUCUGGAGAAACUUGAUGUCCUUAAUUGGGUGUCUUGCGGAUCCAGGACCUUUACCUUGAAAAAAUUAGAGUGUUUAAAGCAGGCAUUUUUGCUCGAAUACAUUGGCAUGGAAUAAUAGAAUAGGACGGCAUGGUUCUAUUUUGUUGGUUUCUAGGAUCACCGUAAUGAUUAAUAGGGAUAGUUGGGGGCAUUAGUAUUCAAUUGUCAGAGGUGAAAUUCUUGGAUUUAUUGAAGACUAACUACUGCGAAAGCAUUUGCCAAGGAUGUUUUCAUUAAUCAAGAACGAAAGUUAGGGGAUCGAAGACGAUCAGAUACCGUCGUAGUCUUAACCAUAAACUAUGCCGACUAGGAAUCAGACGAUGUUAAUUUUUUAAUGACUCGUUUGGCACCUUACG